rnacentral:rRNA from 1 species
UAUCAACUGUGCAGGAGAGGGCGCAAGCCGCACUUGCGAACUCCCCGCCCCUAGGCCUCGGCGAUGCGAGGAUGGCAUUUUCAUGCGGCGGUAGUCUUCAUGACUCAAGCCAAGCCGAGUGUCGCCUGCGGUCGAGGGUUAUGGAUGCGGCGAUCCGUUUUCAGGGUUUGCGCGAUGCGAGGGAUUUGCUCGGAAGCGAUGCGAACGCGGCUGGUACAAAAAGAGGUCCUGUACAGUCGCAGUUGCGGAGGGAACCGAGCCGUCCGCUCCGUAUACGGGCGAUGCCAUGAUUCGGAUUGGUCGCGCGACGCGGUGCCAAGGGUCCUCCCUUCCGACGAAGGAGACUCGGGACUGUCGCAACCGCUCGUCGCGUUGCAAAGGGAUGACGAGACGGUGCAACAAGAGGGCGUGCGUCGCGUGCGUGUACACCCGCAUAUCUUUGCGGGGCAGGACUCCUCGUCACGCGGCAGCACCCGUCUUCAAGCAACGUCCGCUCUUUCGAUGCACGAGCGGGAACACCUCCCAUCGAGGCAAGUCCUCCCGAUUUGUGGAGGCUGCAGCGAGCGGGCAGGUGUUAAAACCAACUCACGGGUGCCAGCGCGCCCGUAGGAAUCCAAACAUAAGGGGCGAUGCGAGUGCCAUGCGUGCUCGCCUCGCCCAAAAGAUAUUGAUUCGGAAUUAAAUACGACUCUCGGCAACGGAUAUCUCGGCUCUCGCCACGAUGAAGAAUGUAGCGAAAUGCGAUACUUAGUGUGAAUUGCAGAAUCCCGUGAAUCAUCGAGUCUUUGAACGCAAGUUGCGCCCGAGGCUUUGGCCGAGGGCACGUCUGCUUGGGCGUCGCACUCUAAAAAUCGUCCCCCCAAGCACUGGGGGAGCGCAGAUGGCCAUCCGUGCACAACGGCUGUGCGGUCGGCUGAAAUGAGCACGAGAUCCGAUUAUCCGUUGCGACGAGCGGUGGCCUCCAUGGGUCGGCGUUGGUUUGCGCGGGUUAGCAAAUCGGGUGAGUGAGGAACUUUGAUCGAGCCUCAACGGCCGCUACCGCGUCCCCAAGUCAGGCGUGAAUACCCGCUGAGUUUAAGCAUA